GAUGAACGCUGGCGGCGUGCUUAACACAUGCAAGUCGAACGGUGAAGCAGGGGCUUGCUCCUGUGGAUCAGUGGCGAACGGGUGAGUAACACGUGAGUAACCUGCCCUUGACUCCGGGAUAAGCGUUGGAAACGACGUCUAAUACUGGAUACGAACCCCCGCCGCAUGGUGAGGGGUGGGAAAGAUUGUUUGGUCAAGGAUGGACUCGCGGCCUAUCAGCGUGUUGGUGAGGUAAUGGCUCACCAAGGCGGCGACGGGUAGCCGGCCUGAGAGGGUGACCGGCCACACUGGGACUGAGACACGGCCCAGACUCCUACGGGAGGCAGCAGUGGGGAAUAUUGCACAAUGGGCGCAAGCCUGAUGCAGCAACGCCGCGUGAGGGAUGACGGCCUUCGGGUUGUAAACCUCUUUUAGUAGGGAAGAAGCGAAAGUGACGGUACCUGCAGAAAAAGCACCGGCUAACUACGUGCCAGCCGCCGCGGUAAAAC
rnacentral:rRNA from 1 species